CUCCGUAGGUGAACCUGCGGAGGGAUCAUUA
rnacentral:rRNA from 17 species